GGUUUGGCUGAGGAAGAAAAACGUGACAUCACAGCUAACAGCAUUAGCACCCCACAGAAUUCAACGUGUUUGGAGAGACGUGUGGUGCGCAGGAACAAACAUAUACAACAAUGUGCUGCACUCAGGAGAGGACAACAGUUUGCUUGAGCUGUCAAACAUGUUAGAUAACUUCUGUUGUCACUAUUUAUUUAUCCCAAGACUACAACUAAGUUUUCACACCAUCAGCAGUGGCUGAGAUGACCAUUCACUCAGAACUGAGAGGAAUCUGACACUUAUGGGAGAUGGGAAGCAUCCAGCAUGCUGUGGUAGAACCAGAAAUCACAGAGGGACUCUGCCUGCCUCAUAUUGACAGUGGACUGCUGGAUGACCCACACUGUG